rnacentral:lncRNA from 1 species
CCAAGUACUUCAAAUUGGUUAACUGGGGGGGGAUUUCUCCAACCAGAAGAUUAUGGCUCAAAUCAAGUACAUUAAGAUGAGUUAUACCCCCUAUCUCCUUUGGAAUUUUCUGGCCAAACUUGUUACAACUGAGGUUCAAGUGAAACAGGUGUUGGUAAUCUCCUAAAAACGUUGGGAUCGACCCAUUCAAUCUAUUGUCUGAUAGAUCAAGGGAGUCUAAAUUUGUCAGUGACCCAAGUUCCUGAGGUAUAUUGCCAGAAAUUUGGUUGUUUUUCAAUGAGAGAUCAACCAGAGAGGUUAAUUUUCCAAAUUCCUUCGGUAUUUGCCCAACCAAAUGAUUUGCUGAAAGAUCAAGUCCCGAAAGACCUUUGAUGUUUCCAAUCUCUGGUGGUAUGCUACCGCUAAUGUUAUUUCUGGCUAAACAAAAAGUAGUCAAAUUCUUGCAUUUCCCCCAGUUGCUGCUGAGUUCGCCAUGAAAAUCAUUGUCGCUCAAAUGAAUGAACUGCAGCUCCGGAUAGUUACCAAAAGCUUCAGAUAAAUUCCCAGUAAAGCUGUUGUUAUUGAAGCGAACCCUUUUGAAACUGGAGCAGUUGCUCAAGCUUCUUGGUAUUGGCCCUGUCAGCUUGUUACUAUUCACUGUGAAGGCCUCAAGUUUCCCACCUUGGCAAAGAUUCUCAGGCAAAUGGCCUGAAAACUGAUUUUCAUCCAUUUCUAUCACAACCAAGUUGUCCAAAUAUGCAAGUUCUUUUGGUAUAGAACCAGAAAGUUUGUUGGCACGGAGAAACAAAGUUUGCAAGUUUCUCAAAUUGCCAAAAGAAGUAGGAAUUGGACCGGUAAGUUGAUUAGUGGAUAACUGCAGAUCAUUCAGUUGUCUCAGGUUCCCCAAUUCACUAGGAAUGGGACCAGAAAGUUGGUUUGAAUGAAGGUACAAGAGAUGGAGCUCAGUUAAUUCUCCUAUAGCUUUGGGAAUUGGACCAGAAAAAUUGUUUGAGCUUAUACUUAACUCCUGAAGUGACUUCAUCUUCCCUAUUUCGGCAGGAAUGUGACCAGUUAAUUGGUUUGAAUCAAGAAAAAGUUGAAGGAGAUUGACAAGUUUUCCAAUUUCUGGAGGAAUAUGACCAGUUAACUUGUUUGAAUCAAGAAAAAGUUGAAGGAGAUUGACAAGUUUCCCUAUUUCUGCUGGAAUGGAACCAGAAAGAUGGUUCUCAUACAGAUGCAAAUAAGACAAUUUGUCCAAAGUCCCCAAUGAAGCAGGAAUUGAACCACUAAGAGAGUUAGAAUUCAAAGCUAGCUCAGUCAAAGACCUUAGGUGACCUAUUUCCUCCGGAAUGGAACCAUAUAAUUGGCUGUUAAAGAUGUGGAGGGUCUCAAGCUUUGUUAAUGAGCCGAUUUGUGGUGGGAUUAUGCCCGAAAUCUGAUUGAAGGACAAGUCAAGAUAGCCAAGAUUAGUGAGCUUUCCUAUUUCAGGUGGGAUAGUGCCAGAGAAGUUGUUGAUGCUAAGAUCAAGAUAACCAAGAAAAGGGAGUGAUGAAAAUGGAAAAUCAUACAGUGUGCCAUUGAUACCAGCAUUUGUCAUAUUCAACAUGUAUACCCUACCGUUAGAACAUGUAACUCCAUACCAGUCCUCGCAUGCAUUAGAACUCGCCGCUCCAAUGCUAUUGGUACCAGCAGGUCCACUUAGCGUCCACGAAGCCAAUAAAGAAUUGUUCUGGUUUUGGAAAGAUGCUUUCCAUUUUAGAAGAGCAGUUGCUUCCUCAGUGGUAGCAAAUGUAACCGCGAAAAGAUAUAAGAAUGUAACACACUGAAGGAAAUUAAAAAUUGUGGGAACUAUCAUCAUUUGCUAAUAAUUAAAAGAUUGUUUUUGGUUUGUGAUGAAGUUGUGCAUGGUUAUACUUGUAUUUAUAUUGUAAUGAAUUAUAGCCAAUCUUUGCAAGUCAGUGGCGUUUAGUUCUCAACUUGUAAAAUACGGGUAGACUUAGAAAGAUUCACAAGUCUUCUAAUAUGUACAUGACUGUCAAGACUCAAGGUACUAUCGUGGGCCAUGUACUGUGGAAUUAUUUCAAGAAGAAACAGUCAAACACGUAAGAGUCUCUGUUCCAUGUUCGAAAAUUAAAUAGUUUAUUAUUUAUUUUCUCGUAUUUAGUAUGUAAAUAAAAAGUAUUUUUAUAUAAUUUAAACAAAUAUAAUUAGAGUGGGGUAAAACUCGAGAUCGAGCACCGCUCGUUGGAAUGAGGUGGCAGAGCGAAAAGCAAUAUGUGCUUGACCUUGACAAAGUGCCUGAAGUAAUAAACAAUAAAAAAGCAUAGAGUGAUAUUAACAUUCCUGUGUCUGCUUUCUUUGAAAGUCAUGUUACAUUUAAGUAGAUUUUUGAUAUUCUUGGUAAGUAGGAUUAUAUUAGUCAAAAUACAUUUUGUAUUAAAUUUUCCUUGAGGAAAGUACAUGACUUAACUUAACUUACCUGACAAACAAUUGUGGACGGAAAGAGUAGCUACAAAUCUAGACGCUUAAAACUUUGUUAUAAAUGGAAAUGAUUAAGGAAUUUUUGGUGAGUUUUAGCUGUAAAACUUCCUCUUCCGUCAACUCAAUGUUAGCUUGUACAUAGUACACAGUAGAAAAAGAAGGGUAGGUAAGCAGAGCAAAGGCAUAAUUUUAAGAGGCAUAUUUAUGCACAUAUUUUAAUUAUUUGAGAUUUUUCAUUAGCUAUAAGAAUUAUGGAAAGUAAUCUUAUUAUAACUUCAGCACUUAGCAAACAUGAUCAAAUUUUGUUUUAGUUAUUUUUUGGCACGAGGGAAUUAGAUAAUUAUCUUCAACAAUACUAGUACCAGUAAUAUCUUUUUUAGUGGCUUUCUAAUUAGACUACUUGCUUCACGAUAAGUCUUAAUGCUUCAAGAUGUUUUUGAUGAUCUCCUUACAAUUCCGAUCCCAUUCCGAUCUCGAUAUGUGGAAUCGUCUUGCGCCAUAUGUACUGAGAUUGUUCGGGAGACAUGGUCCAAGCCCGGUGAAAAAAUGAAAUACAAAAAGAUUAUGAUGUCAAAAUCGCGAGCCGGGCCGGGUCUCGAUUCAGAAAGAUGAAGGGCCCAAAAGUCUAAAUAGGGGGUGAAAAAUUCCCCAUCUCAUUGGGGGCGGAAAACGAAUCGACAUCUCGAUGUGAUACAGCCCUUUCGAUUUUAGUUGGAGGGAUCGGGUCCUCUGCAUAGUAUGCUCGUCCAGGCCCCUGAGCUAUACAACUGGAAAGCUGUCCGCAUAAGAGGUUGAUGAGGUCCUUAGUGUACCACACCAAUCAGAAGGGACGAGGUUGUUUGGUCAUUUGUAUCAACUUUUGAUGUUUGAUAUAUUCAACAUGACAAACAACAAAUUAAUUCAUUCAUGCAAAGAGAGAUAUUCAAGCGAACAGGUCCCAUAACAGGAAGUACAGUGCUUAUAUUAUAGGAUUCGUUUCAAGCGAACAGGAGCUUGUUAGUUUGAUAAUAAAAACCAAUCCCGGUGCACGUAUGAUAAAGCAAAAGCAACACCCUUGAUGAUAUUCACCCGUUUAAGCCAAUCCAAUUUCUUGGACUCAACUUCAUUGCUUAAAACACUAGACGAACUUCCACUCUCCACAUACUCGUAAACCAGAGCGAGUGUUGUGCUUUCGAACAAUAGCCGUAGAGGUUCACAAUGUUCCGGUGCUUAAUCCCAGUCAAUGCCCUUACUUCGUUGAUGAAGCUUUUGGGAUGAGUAUUCUGAAAUGAAGAAUGAAGUCUCUUCACAGCUACAUUCCCGAAUGAUGAAAGGUUUACCUUGUAAACGUUUCCAUGUCCUCCUUGCCCGAUGAAAUAUUUUGCAUCAAACUCUUCUGUGGCGUUUAAGAUGUCCCUGUACAAUGCCUGGAUAUCGAAAGCCAACCUAUACGCUGCAUAGCAAACAUAAAUAUGUAUAUUUCGCUAUACAUAUACAAAAGAAAAUAGUUGUAUAAUUUCGUUAUGCAUAUACAAAAAAAAUCAGUUGUAUAAUAUAUUUUGGAAUACAUAUACAAAAGAUCAAUUGUAUAAUUUUUGUUUGUAUAAAGCGAGAAAGAGAGAAAGACAAAAAAACUGAGUAGGGAAAGAUCGUAUUUGUAUAAUAAUAAGUGUAUCAGACGAAAAUAUAUAUGCAUUUGUAUAUGCAUAUACAAAUAUCUAUCGUUUUAUACACAAACACAAUGUACAUUUGUCUUUGUAUAAAGUGAGAGAAGCGAGUGAGCGAGCAAAAUCUAGGAGAGUGGCGAAUGAGAUCUAGGAGAGGGGGGAGAGGGAAACGAAAAUAUAUGUAUAAAUACAAUUUUCUCUCUCUUUAUACAAACAUAAAUACAUUUUAUACAUUUUCAUUUUUGUAUGAAGUGAGAGAGGCGAGUGAGCGAGAUCUAGGAGAGUGGCAAUCAAUUUCUGAAGAGGGAAAACGAAAAUAUAUGUAUAUAUACAAUUUUCUCUCUCUUCAUACAAAUACAAACGGAUUUUGUAUAUUUGUGUUUGUAUAAAAUGCGAAAGAGGCGAGAGAGAGAACGAGAGUAGCAAGCGAGAUUCAACAGGAGAGAAGCGAAAUAGCAACAGUUUGCUAUGGGUUAUAAUUAAAUCAAACUAUAUGUAUAGCAUUUAAUUUGAAUUAAUAGUGUGCUAUAAUUCUUUUAUAAGAACACAAGUGUUAAUGACCUUAUCAAUAUGUAGAGCGGAAAAUUGAAAUUUUUGUCUGGAUGACCCAUGAAGAAGAAACGUCUCACACACAUUCCGUGGUUAGGAGUGUACAUGACCGGGUUAGUGCGGAUUUUACAAAAAGCAGAUCAAAUUAUUUGUGUCAAAUUUUUAGUUUUGUCAACCUAACCAAACUAAUAAAAUUCAGAUUUUUUCUAAUUUUUCAACCUCGGGUUGAUUUGUUUUUUUUUCAAAUACCAAAUCAAAUCAUUUGUGUUGAAUUUUUUAAAAUUUUUAAAUCAAGUCAAAGUAAUAAACCUCAAUUUUUUUUGAAUUUUUCCAGUAAAGUAUUCAUAUAAACAUAUAAUUAACUUGUGCUACAAAUAUUUCUUUUAGUCCAAACAAAAUACAACUAUCUAAGAUGUUUUUUCAAAAAUAACACAAAAUAUGAGAUAAGUGAUGACUAAAAUAAAGAAAAUAAUAAUGAAAUCUUAUAAAAUAAAUAUUGUGAAUUGAUAAGUCAAAAUGAAAAUGAUCAUAAUUUUAAAAGUACUAAAUCUUGCUAAAAUAAGUCUAAUAAGUAUUAACAGGGAGAGCUCAACAUAAUCCGAGGCCUAAAGUGAAAUUUUAGUUAGAGGCCUAAAAAUUUUAAAAAAAUUAUCUGUAUUUAUUUAUUUUUUAAAAUUUUUAGAUUUCAUUUUUAUAAACAAUUUUUCAAAUACUUUUUUAAAAAUAUAUUUUUAAGCAAGAUUUUAUCAAUUCAACAUUAAAAACAUUAUUUUAUUGAGAAAAUUAUUAUAUGAAUAAAAAAUAUAGUUCUAUAAGUAAUAAGAUGAUAAAUUUUAAAUAAAGAUAAGAAUUUAAGAAUUAUAGAAUCUGAUUCAAAAAGUUGAUAACUUGAUUAUCCUACUUUAAUAUAAAAAUUACAAAGAAAUAAAAAAAUAUUUGUAAUUUAGUUUGUCCAACACUUAUUGAUUCAUAUUUUUUAGAGAAGAUUAUUUUAACUAUCAAAUAUUUAAAGAAAUAGAGUGCAUAAGGAGUUAAAUUUUUUUUAAAAAAUGUGAGUAUUACAAAGAAAAAAAAUAAAAUAUAUUAUGAAUAAUUAAUUCUUUUUCUUGAAAAACUUAAACAUGAUUUUUUAUUUAAUUCGAUCUUGUACACCCUUACCCGCGAUACUGAACUUGGGUACCGCUUGGAAGUAAAAAGAAAAUGAGCAACAAAAAAUGCGGUAUAUCAUAGAAUUACAAACUUCCAGCUAUUAGAGAUAUAUAAACUUACUAACGUUUACGCCAAACCAUAAACUAUUAGAUACAAAUCUGUAAAAAUUGAAAAAAUACAUAUGUAAACAAACCAUGUAUCUAUUGGUUUAUUAUUGUAAACACCAAAUGUGACAAAUUCUUCACCAGAUAAGAUUUAUGUGUUGGAAUUCUUCAAUUGGAAAGGUUAAAAAGACGGAAGAAAUUAUAAAUGUCCCAGCUCCAUGCCUAGCAAACCUAACAGUUUUCGGCAGGAAUACCCAUUAGUUCGCCCAUAUAUAUGGGAGUGACAAUUGGACGGGUUGGAUUAAAUUUAAAUAGGUUAAAAUGAGAAAAAAAUUAUAAACGAGUCAAAUCCUAUUUCAAUCCGACCCAAAUUAGUUUGGGCCAAAACAAAUUAGAUAACAGGUUAAUAAUGGGUCAUAACCAAACCCGCACAACUUUUACUAGAAUUUAAUAGCUUUAUUUGUUAUUUUAUAAGAUUUUAAUAAAAUUAUUAUUUUUGAAAUUAUAACUAUAUACCAAGUAUAAAAUCAAAAAUCAAAAGAUAUUUUAACAAGAUUUCUCAAAAAUCAAUUAAACAAAUCAAGCAAACCAUCAACAUCAAAAAGCAGGAUCGGUUUGAUAAGCAAUCAGCUAACAGCAACAACAGAUGUUCAAUAGAGUAUAAGCAUUAAAUUAUAGAGUAAACCAACUAACAAUACAAACAUAUCAAGGAUUAUAUUGCUUCCCUUGCAUGGUGGUUUCUCUGAUGAACAGGUGGACGUGCAUCCAUUGAUGAUAACUUAUGAGAGAUGAAGUGCAUUGUUGGCCUUGAGUUUGGAGUUUGGAGCAAACAAGAGCAUGCUAGAUUGAUGAUAAAAACCAAAACAUCUUUUACUCUAUCUUCAGGAUAUGGAAGGCGUUCAUCCAGCAAAUUGCUAAGCUGCUCAGGAUCUAUAGUCGAUGAAUUUGCCAGCACAGUAAUGUAUUCCCCGACAUGCUUUCCUUUGAUUAUCUCCAAUGAUAAUACUCCAAAGCUAUACACAUCACACAUUUGUGUAACCUUCAUUGUAUAUGCAAGCUCUGAAUGAUAAUACAAUUUUCAACAACAAUACUAACAAUCAAAUGAGAUUAAGAAAACAAUGGAGUGCUUGGAUAUAGUUCAUCAACUAUUUAAAACUUACCAGGUGCGACAUAACCAUAUGUGCCUGCAAGCGCGGUGCAAUUGGACGAGUCUGGAUUGAGAAUCUUUGCUAUUCCAAAGUCUGCAACACGAGCUUCAUACUCAGAAUCAAGCAAAACAUUACUGCUACGUAUGUCUCGAUGAACAAUGGGUGGUGAACAAUCCUGGUGCAUGUAAGAUAAAGCAAAAGCAACACCCUUGAUGAUAUUCACCCUUUUAAGCCAAUCCAAUUUCUUAGACUCAACUUCAUUGCUUAAAACACUAGACAAACUCCCCCUCUCCACAUACUCGUAAACCAAGAGUGAGUGUUGUGCUUUCGAACAAUAGCCGUAGAGGCUCACAAUGUUCCGGUGCUUAAUCCCAGUCAAUGCCCUUACUUCAUUUAUGAAGCUUUUGGGAUGUGUAUUCUGAAAUGAAGAAUGAAGUCUCUUCACAGCUAUAUCUCCUAAUAAUGGAAGGUUUACCUUGUAAACACUUCCCUGACCUCCUUGCCCAAUGCAAAAUUUUGCAUCGAACUCUUCUGUGGCAUUUAAGAUGUCCCUGUACAAUGCCUUCCCAUCUAACAUGGAUAUCGAAAGCCAACCAUCACCAUCCCUUCUUUCAACGUCUCCAACUCUUCUUCUUUGGUCACACAUAAAGAGAGAACCAGCGAAAGCACAAAGCAGCACUAAUGCUCCCAGAAUAGGAAGUACAGUGAUGAGGAUGAGUUUAUGUCCCUUCGCCAUUGAGUGCUUCUUCACCAUAGAAGAUGGCCUUUCGCAAGGUUGGAAUCCAGUCACAUUGCCACAAAGACCUUUAUUACCUUCUAAUGAGGCAUUCAUAAAAGCAUUAUUAUUAGGGAUUGGCCCUUCCAACUCGUUGUAUGACAAUACAACAUCCUGCAAACCAGUCAAACUAUCAAAUUCUUCAGGAAUGUGGCCAGAAAGGCUGUUGUGGGACAGAUUCAAGUUCACCAAGUACUUCAAAUUGGUUAACUGGGGGGUAUUUCUCCAACCAGAAGAUUAUGGCUCAAAUCAAGUACAUUAAGAUGAGUUAUACCCCCUAUCUCCUUUGGAAUUUUCUGGCCAAACUUGUUACAACUGAGGUUCAAGUGAAACAGGUGUUGGUAAUCUCCUAAAAACGUUGGGAUCGACCCAUUCAAUCUAUUGUCUGAUAGAUCAAGGGAGUCUAAAUUUGUCAGUGACCCAAGUUCCUGAGGUAUAUUGCCAGAAAUUUGGUUGUUUUUCAAUGAGAGCUCAACCAGAGAGGUUAAUUUUCCAAAUUCCUCUGGUAUUUGCCCAACCAAAUGAUUUGCUGAAAGAUCAAGUCCCAAAAGACCUUUGAUGUUUCCAAUCUCUGGUGGUAUGCUACCGCUAAUGUUAUUUCUGGCUAAACAAAAAGUAGUCAAAUUCUUG